rnacentral:rRNA from 1 species
GACGAACGCUGGCGGCGUGCUUAACACAUGCAAGUCGAACGGAAAGGCCCUGCUUUUGUGGGGUGCUCGAGUGGCGAACGGGUGAGUAACACGCGAGUAACCUGCCCUUGACUUUGGGAUAACUUCAGGAAACUGGGGCUAAUACCGGAUAGGAGCUCCUGCUGCAUGGUGGGGGUUGGAAAGUUUCGGCGGUUGGGGAUGGACUCGCGGCUUAUCAGCUUGUUGGUGGGGUAGUGGCUUACCAAGGCUUUGACGGGUAGCCGGCCUGAGAGGGUGACCGGCCACAUGGGGACUGAGAUACGGCCCAGACUCCUACGGGAGGCAGCAGUGGGGAAUAUUGCACAAUGGGCGGAAGCCUGAUGCAGCAACGCCGCGUGCGGGAUGACGGCCUUCGGGUUGUAAACCGCUUUCGCCGGUGACGAAGCGUGAGUGACGGUAAUGGGUAAAGAAGCACCGGCUAACUACGUG